rnacentral:rRNA from 1 species
UACGUAGGUGGCGAGCGUUGUCCGGAUUUACUGGGCGUAAAGGGAGCGUAGGCGGACUUUUAAGUGAGAUGUGUAAUACUCGGGCUCAACUUGAGUGCUGCAUUUCAAACUGGAAGUCUAGAGUGCAGGAGAGGAGAACGGAAUUCCUAGUGUAGCGGUGAAAUGCGUAGAGAUUAGGAAGAACACCAGUGGCGAAGGCGAUUCUCUGGACUGUAACUGACGCUGAGGCUCGAAAGCGUGGGGAGCAAACAGG